UACGGAGGGUGCAAGCGUUAAUCGGAAUUACUGGGCGUAAAGCGCACGUAGGCGGUAUGUUAAGUUGGAUGUGAAAGCCCCGGGCUCAACCUGGGAAUUGCAUUCAAAACUGGCAUGCUAGAGUAUGUGAGAGGGGGGUAGAAUUCCAAGUGUAGCGGUGAAAUGCGUAGAGAUUUGGAGGAAUACCAGUGGCGAAGGCGGCCCCCUGGCACAAUACUGACGCUGAGGUGCGAAAGCGUGGGGAGCAAACAGG
rnacentral:rRNA from 1 species